rnacentral:tRNA from 1 species
UGCGGGGUAGAGCAGUUGGUAGCUCGUCGGGCUCAUAACCCGGAGGUCGCAUGUUCGAGUCAUGUCCCCGCUA